rnacentral:rRNA from 1 species
GAUCAUGGCUCAGGACGAACGCUGGCGGCGUGCUUAACACAUGCAAGUCGAACGGACAGACAGAGAGCUUGCUCUCUUGAAGUUAGUGGCGAACGGGUGAGUAACGCGUAAUCAACCUGCCCUUCAGAGGGGGAUAACAACGGGAAACCGUUGCUAAUACCGCGUACGAUUCAUAGACGGCAUCGUUUGUGAAUGAAAGGUGGCCUCUAUUUAUAAGCUAUCGCUGAAGGAGGGGAUUGCGU